AUUGAACGCUGGCGGCAGGCCUAACACAUGCAAGUCGAGCGGGGUUUUCGGACCUAGCGGCGGACGGGUGAGUAAUGCGUAGGAAGCUACCCGAUAGAGGGGGAUACCAGUUGGAAACGACUGUUAAUACCGCAUAAUGUCUACGGACCAAAGUGUGGGACCCUCGGGCCACAUGCUAUCGGAUGCGCCUACGUGGGAUUAGCUAGUUGGUGAGGUAAUGGCUCACCAAGGCGACGAUCCCUAGCUGGUUUGAGAGGAUGAUCAGCCACACUGGAACUGAGAAACGGUCCAGACUCCUACGGGAGGCAGCAGUGGGGAAUAUUGGACAAUGGGCGCAAGCCUGAUCCAGCCAUGCCGCGUGUGUGAAGAAGGCCUUCGGGUUGUAAAGCACUUUCAGUAGGGAGGAAGCGUUGUGUGUUAAUAGUACACAGCGUUGACGUUACCUACAGAAGAAGCACCGGCUAACUCUGUGCCAGCAGCCGCAGUAAGAC
rnacentral:rRNA from 1 species